rnacentral:rRNA from 1 species
CAACUUUCAACAACGGAUCUCUUGGCUCUGGCAUCGAUGAAGAACGCAGCGAAAUGCGGUAUGUAAUGUGAAUUGCAGAACUCAGUGAACCAUCGAAUCUUUGAACGCACAUCGCGCCCGCUAGUAUUCUGGCGGGCAUGUCUGUCCGAGCGUCAUGU